UGUAAACAUCCUACACUCUCAGCUGUGGAAAAUGAGGAAGCUGGGAGAAGGCUGUUUACUCU
rnacentral:pre_miRNA from 1 species